AAAAAAGAGUUUUUAAUCAAAGACAAGAAGUGAAAAUUCGCUGGACACCAUGCUCCGAGUGUGGCAAGGACUGGGAGGACACAUGGGAGCCUGCCCAAAACUAUAGCAGCUCAACAUAAUAACACACACACACAGACACAGACACACACAUACACAUACACACAGACACAGACACACAGACACAAACAC